AUCACUUCUUGGCCUUUUGACUAAGAUCAAGUAUAGUAUCUGUUCUUAUCAGUUUAAAAUUAUUGGGUUGGCCAAAAAAGUUCAUUUAGGUUUUUUUUAAGAUGACUCUAGCAGCACUUAGUUGUCUAACUUCAUUUGAAACAACGGUUAGAUUGUAUUGUGACAGCUGUCAUAUCAGCAAGCAUUU